rnacentral:piRNA from 1 species
UAGUGAAUCCUUUUUCAUUUGGG